rnacentral:misc_RNA from 1 species
GUGCGUGGUAGCGUUGAGCAGCGCCGAGCAACAUGAGGCGACGGAACAACGGCGGUUCCACUUAUUUUUGCCAGGCGUCGUCGAAUAUCAAGCGAAACGGUCGCGGUGGUUGCAGCGAGACGAACGAGGCGAACGAGCCACCGGGAUGGUGCAUCUACGUGGCGGUCGCGCUCGUCGCGGUCGGCUGUUAUCUCAAUGCGCUCGAUUGCGACUUCGUGCACGAUGACAUACCGGCGGUGGUGAGGAACAGGGACGUGACCGGCGAGGCGUCAUGGAGCAGCGUGCUCAACGACGAUUUCUGGGGUACGCCGAUGGAGAGCAUCAAUAGUCACAAGAGCUAUCGACCUUUCACCACUCUGACGUUUCGGUUAAACUACUUGAUGGCGGGUCUAAGUCCCAUGUGGUAUCACGCCACGAACGUCGCCUUACAUGCCGCUGCGUGCAUCUUAGUCACCAGAGUGAGCCUCGUAGUAGCCGCGCUACGACCGGGAUUUGCAGCGCUCGCCGGACUACUAUUCGCCACACAUCCCGUGCACACGGAAGCGGUGACUGGCAUCGUAGGCAGAGCGGAUGUUCUAGCGUGUAUCUUCUUUUUGCUGUCUUUUCUUGCCUAUCACGGCCAACAGACGGCUUACGUAUGGUCUAGCGUUUGUCUAGGUGCCCUAUCAAUGCUGGCGAAGGAAACUGGCGUUACUGUUCUAGUACUGAACUUUCUUUACGACUUCUGUCGUUCCUGGCAUUCAAUCAAGAGGUCUAUUUCCGAAGCCAGGUGGAACGACGAUUCUAGAUAUUUUUCCAGACGUGCCGCAGCGUUACUUAUUUCAUUUAGCAUACUUCUUGUGGUGCGGCUCGCUCUACUUCAUGGUACUUUGCCGAACUUCUCCGCGCAGGAUAAUCCAGCUGCUUUUCAUCCCUGUUUCCACGUUAGAUUGUUGACUUUUUGUUACCUGGCGGCGCUGAAUUGUUGGUUGCUCCUGUGUCCGGCUAUACUCUCGCACGAUUGGCAAAUGGGAUCUGUUCCUCUGGUUACAUCUUUUACGGAUACCAGAAAUCUAGCCACUUGUAUAUUUUUCGGCGGUUGUCUAGUCCUCACGUACAAAGCCUUCACGGAUUUCGAGCAACAAAGGCAUCCGCCUCUUGUUCUGGGUUGGAUGUUCCUGGUGCUGCCGUUCCUACCUGCGUCCAAUCUUUUUGUCACAGUAGGUUUUGUUGUGGCAGAACGAGUUUUAUAUACACCGAGUGUCGGAUGGAUUAUUUUGAUCGUCUACGGUAUGCAGGUGAGCUGGACCGCUGUACCGCGACGGAAAAGCUGGCUUACUUCGGGCGUAGCUCUCCUGUUCUUAUUAGGAUGUUUCAAAACGGUUCUUCGGAACAACGAUUGGAGAUCUAGAGAAACUUUAAUCAAAGCGGGACUGCGGUCUCUACCCUACAAUGCCAAGAUGCAUUACAACUUCGCUAACUUCCUUAAAGACACGUCGCAACCGAAUCUUGCGGUUCAUCAUUAUCAGUUGGCUCUCUGGCUUUGGCCAGGGUAUGCUAGUGCACACAAUAAUCUUGGAACUCUCACGAUAGAUGACCAAGCUGAAUAUCAUUUUCUAGCAGCUAUUAACGCUCAUCCUGGUCACGUAAAUGCUCAUUAUAAUCUCGGACGAUUGUACAGACGAACGAAUCGAACUGAGCAGUGUAUCGAGAUGCUAAGAAAAUGCGUGUUGCUGGAUCCUGCAUACGCGCCGGCAUUCAGAGUCCUAGCGAGAAUCGCUACUGGUCCUGCAACAGGCGAGCUCCUGCGGCACGUAAUUCACCUUCAGCCACGAAACCCAGACGCUCUCGCCGAGUAUGCUUACUGGUUAUACAAGAACGAUGGCAUUUAAUGUUACGAGCGAAACGAGGAGGCUUCAUCUAUCGUGGGGAUUUGUAUAUUCGUGCGUGGGAGUUACAAAGCGAAUCUCGUCAAAGGACUCAUCAACAUCAACGGAAUCUCUGCAUAUCGGAGAACGGAUGUUCGAGGC